AUUGAACGCUGGCGGCAGGCCUAACACAUGCAAGUCGAACGAAUGGCGGACGGGUGAGUAAUGUCUGGGCAACUGCCUGAUGGAGGGGGAUAAAUAAUGGAAACGGUAGCUAAUACCGCAUACCAUCGGAUGUGCCCAGAUGGGAUUAGCUAGUAGGUGGGGUAACGGCUCACCUAGGCGACGAUCCCUAGCUGGUCUGAGAGGAUGACCAGCCACACUGGAACUGAGACACGGUCCAGACUCCUACGGGAGGCAGCAGUGGGGAAUAUUGCGCAAUGGUCGAAAGCCUGAUGGAGCCACGCCGCGUGUAUGAAGAAGGCCUUCGGGUUGUAAAGUUCUUUCAGCGGGGAGGCGUUACCCGCAGAAAAAGCACCGGCUAACUCCGUGCCAGCAGCCGCGGUAAUUC
rnacentral:rRNA from 1 species